rnacentral:rRNA from 1 species
ACGCGUGGGAAAUCUGCCGAGUAGCGGGGGACAACGUUUGGAAACGAACGCUAAUACCGCAUAACAAUGAGAAUCGCAUGAUUCUGAUUUAAAAGAAGCAACUGCUUCACUACUUGAUGAUCCCGCGUUGUAUUAGCUAGUUGGUAGUGUAAAGGACUACCAAGGCGGUGAUACAUAGCCGGCCUGAGAGGGUGAACGGCCACACUGGGACUGAGACACGGCCCAGACUCCUACGGGAGGCAGCAGUAGGGAAUCUUCGGCAAUGGGGGCAACCCUGACCGAGCAACGCCGCGUGAGUGAAGAAGGUUUUCGGAUCGUAAAACUCUGUUGUUAGAGAAGAACGUUAAGUAGAGUGGAAAGUUACUUAAGUGACGGUAUCUAACCAGAAAGGGACGGCUAACUACGUGCCAGCAGCCGCGGUAAUACGUAGGUCCCGAGCGUUGUCCGGAUUUAUUGGGCGUAAGGCGAGCGCAGGUGGUUCCUUAAGUCUGAUGUAAAAGGCAGUGGCUCAACCAUUGUGUGCAUUGGAAACUGGGGAACUUGAGUGCAGGAGAGGGGAGUGGAAUUCCAUGUGUAGCGGUGAAAUGCGUAGAUAUAUGGAGGAACACCGGAGGCGAAAGCGGCUCUCUGGCCUGUAACUGACACUGAGGAUC